UAGGGAAUAUUGGACAAUGGGGGCAACCCUGAUCCAGCCAUGCCGCGUGAGUGAAGAAGGCCCUCGGGUUGUAAAGCUCUUUUGUCCGGAAAGAAAAGCUUCGGGUUAAUACCCCGGGGUUCUGACGGUACCGGAAGAAUAAGCACCGGCUAACUACGUGCCAGCAGCCGCGGUAAUACGUAGGGUGCGAGCGUUAAUCGGAAUUACUGGGCGUAAAGCGUGCGCAGGCGGUUUUGUAAGACAGAUGUGAAAUCCCCGGGCUUAACCUGGGAACUGCGUUUGUGACUGCAAGGCUGGAGUACGGCAGAGGGGGGUGGAAUUCCGCGUGUAGCAGUGAAAUGCGUAGAUAUGCGGAGGAACACCGAUGGCGAAGGCAAUCCCCUGAGCCUGCACUGACGCUCAUGCACGAAAGCGUGGGGAGCAAACA
rnacentral:rRNA from 1 species